GAUGAACGCUGGCGGCGUGCCUAAUACAUGCAAGUCGAGCGAACAGGCGAGGAGCUUGCUCCUCUGACGUUAGCGGCGGACGGGUGAGUAACACGUGGAUAACCUACCUAUAAGACUGGGAUAACUUCGGGAAACCGGAGCUAAUACCGGAUAAUAUAUUGAACCGCAUGGUUCAAUAGUGAAAGACGGUUUUGCUGUCACUUAUAGAUGGAUCCGCGCCGCAUUAGCUAGUUGGUAAGGUAACGGCUUACCAAGGCAACGAUGCGUAGCCGACCUGAGAGGGUGAUCGGCCACACUGGAACUGAGACACGGUCCAGACUCCUACGGGAGGCAGCAGUAGGGAAUCGGCCGCAAUGGGCGAGAGCCUGACGGAGCGACGCCGCGUGAGUGAUGAAGGUCUUCGGAUCGUAAAACUCUGUUAUUAGGGAAGAACAAAUGUGUAAGUAACUAUGCACGUCUUGACGGUACCUAAUCAGAAAGCCACGGCUAACUACGUG
rnacentral:rRNA from 1 species